rnacentral:rRNA from 1 species
UCAAGCUACAAAGGGCGCAUGGUGAAUGCCUUGGCAUCCAGGAGCCGAAGAAGGACGUGAUAAGCUGCGAUAAGCUUCGGGUAGGCGCAAAUAGCCUGAGAUCCGGAGAUUUCCGAAUGAGGGAACCUCACAUGGGGAAACCCCAUGUAUCCUUAAGUGAAUACAUAGCUUAAGGAGGGUAAAACCCAGGGAACUGAAACAUCUAAGUACCUGGAGGAAGAGAAAGAAAAAUCGAUUCUCUGAGUAGCGGCGAGCGAAAGGGGAAGAGCCCAAACCAAGAAACUUGUUUCUGGGGUUGCGGACAGACAAUUAAAUCGAAACAAUCAUUAACCGAACAAUACUGGAAAGUAUGACCGUAGAAGGUAAUAGUCCUGUAGUAAAAGUGAGUGUAAGAGAGUUCUGAUCCAGAGUACCACGAAGCACACGUGAAACCUUGUGGGAAGCAGGGAGGACCACCUCCCAAGGCUAAAUACUACCUGAUGACCGAUAGUGAAGCAGUACCGUGAGGGAAAGGUGAAAAGAACCCCGGGAGGGGAGUGAAAUAGAACCUGAAACCGUGUGCCUACAACCGAUCAAAGCACCAUAUGAGUGUGAUGAUGUGCUUUUUGUAGAACGAGCCAACGAGUUACGGUAUGUAGCGAGGUUAAGUACUUAAGGUACGGAGCCGAAGGGAAACCGAGUCUGAAUAGGGCGACUAGUUGCAUGCUGUAGACCCGAAACCGGGUGACCUAUCCAUGGCCAGGUUGAAGCGAGAGUAAAAUCUCGUGGAGGACCGAACCACGUUGGUGUUGAAAAACCAUGGGAUGAGCUGUGGAUAGCGGAGAAAUUCCAAUCGAACUCGGAGAUAGCUGGUUCUCCUCGAAAUAGCUUUAGGGCUAGCGUCGGAUAUGAGUAAUGGAGGUAGAGCACUGAAUGGGCUAGGGGGCAUAGCGCUUACCGAACCUUCAAACUCCGAAUGCCAUAUACUAUUAAGUCCGGCAGUCAGACUGCGAAUGAUAAGAUCCGUGGUCAAAAGGGAAACAGCCCAGAUCGUCAGCUAAGGUCCCAAAGUGUAAGUUAAGUGGAAAAGGAUGUGGGAUUUCUAAGACAACUAGGAUGUUGGCUUAGAAGCAGCCACUCAUUUAAAGAGUGCGUAAUAGCUCACUAGUCGAGAGAUCCUGCGCCGAAAAUGUUCGGGGCUCAAACUUACCACCGAAGCUACGGGCUUAAGUUAAACUUAAGCGGUAGAGGAGCGUCGUAAUCGGGCUGAAGUCGUACCGGAAGGAGCGGUGGACUGAUUACGAGUGAGAAUGUUGGCAUUAGUAGCGAGAUGUGAGUGAGAAUCUCACAGGCCGAAAACCUAAGGUUUCCUCAGGAAGGCUCGUCCGCUGAGGGUUAGUCGGGACCUAAGCCGAGGCCGAAAGGCGUAGGUGAUGGACAAUCGGUUGAUAUUCCGAUACCACUAUUAAUCGUUAAAACCGAAGGCGUAACGCAGGAGGAUAGGAUGUGCUAGCUAUUGGAUGCUAGUCUAAGCACUUAGGGAGUUCAGCAAGGCAAAUCCGGCUGAACAAUUCUGAGGUGUGAUGGGGAAGGAACUACGGUUCCGAAGUAUCUGAUUCCACGCUGCCAAGAAAAGCGUCUAGGGAGAGAGGUAGUGCCCGUACCGCAAACCGACACAGGUAGGUGAGGAGAGAAUCCUAAGGCCGGCGGAAGAAUCACAGUUAAGGAACUCGGCAAAUUGACCCCGUAACUUAGGGAGAAGGGGUGCCUACGCAAGUAGGCCGCAGAGAAUAGGCCCAAGCAACUGUUUAGCAAAAACACAGGUCUCUGCUAAAGCGAAAGCUGAUGUAUAGGGGCUGACGCCUGCCCGGUGCUGGAAGGUUAAGGGGAAUACUUAGCGCAAGCGAAGGUAUGAACUUAAGCCCCAGUAAACGGCGGCCGUAACUAUAACGGUCCUAAGGUAGCGAAAUUCCUUGUCAGGUAAGUUCUGACCCGCACGAAUGGCGUAAUGACUUGGGCACUGUCUCAACUGUGAAUCCGGCGAAGUUGUAGUACGAGUGAAGAUGCUCGUUACCCGCGAUUGGACGGAAAGACCCCGUAGAGCUUUACUGUAGCUUAGCAUUGAAUUUCGGUAUUGUCUGUACAGGAUAGGUGGGAGACUAGGAAGUCAGGGCGUCAGCCUUGAUGGAGUCAUCCUUGGGAUACCACCCUGACAGUACUGAGGUUCUAACUGGAUGCCAUGAAACUGGUGACAGGACAUUGUUAGGUGGGCAGUUUGACUGGGGCGGUCGCCUCCUAAAAAGUAACGGAGGCGCCCAAAGGUUCCCUCAGAACGGUCGGAAAUCGUUCGAAGAGUGCAAAGGCAGAAGGGAGCCUGACUGCGACACCCACAAGUGGAGCAGGGACGAAAGUCGGGCUUAGUGAUCCGGUGGUACCUCGUGGGAGGGCCAUCGCUCAACGGAUAAAAGCUACCUCGGGGAUAACAGGCUGAUCUCCCCCAAGAGUCCACAUCGACGGGGAGGUUUGGCACCUCGAUGUCGGCUCGUCGCAUCCUGGGGCUGAAGUAGGUCCCAAGGGUUGGGCUGUUCGCCCAUUAAAGCGGCACGCGAGCUGGGUUCAGAACGUCGUGAGACAGUUCGGUCCCUAUCCGUCGCGGGCGUAGGAAAUUUGAGAGGAGCUGUCCUUAGUACGAGAGGACCGGGAUGGACUGACCUCUGGUGUACCAGUUGUUCCGCCAGGAGCACAGCUGGGUAGCUAUGUCGGGAAGAGAUAAACGCUGAAAGCAUCUAAGCGUGAAGCUCACCUCAAGAUUAGAUUUCCCAUAGCGUAAGCUAGUAAGAUCCCUUGAAGAACACAAGGUUGAUAGGUCAGAGAUGUAAGCAUGGUAACAUGUUCAGUUGACUGAUACUAAUAGAUCGAGGGCUUGACCAA